GUUUCCCUCUCUCUCUUUGCUUGGCUUUUUCUGCAUUUUUCUUAAUGGAAUUUGUUAGGUUGUGAUUUCAAAUACUCAAAUCUGAUUGGAUAGUCACACAGUCCCACAUCGAUUUUAAGCAUGAAACUUUAGAAUUUGGGGUUCUAUAUAAAGAACCCCCAAUUCCACAUUAUACACACACACAGAUAUACGAAAAUACUUGCAUAUUUUUAGGAAGAACCUAUUGUAGGUUUUACACUGAUCUUGUGCGGGUACACUUAGGGUUUUGAUUUGCUCAGAACUCUUUUUAGUCUAAAUUUGGUUUGUGUUUCUAAAAUUCUUUUGAUUUCUUUGUGUUUGGCGUGGCUGUGAGGUGUGGAGGAAGCUCAACUCUAUUCUCGACCCAGGCUACCAUCACAAAAGAGGGCCAUUUGGGCCAAGUACAUCAACCAUAAGGUGUUAGGCCUAAGGUCUAACAGCUCCUCCUUUCUUCUAUCGAGUCCGAACCAGCUUGAAGGCCCAACUAUGGAUGAAAAUGGCAACUGGUGGGCUCGGUAGGCCCACCAACCUUACUCCCUCUUUUUUUUUUUUUUUUUUUGUAUAUGUUUUGCAUAUUGUAUUUUGUAAAAGAAUGCUCUUACAUACUGAAACCCGAAUGGAUAUGAACUUACACAUUUUAGCCAAACAA